rnacentral:ncRNA from 1 species
UUAAAAGCUAGGAAUAGGACAUGUGGGUCUUUAAUCGGUCACAGAGAAAAAACACCUUGGCUGGAAGUGUUUUUGGCAUAUCUUAGAGACUUGUACCACCUUGGAGCUGUUAUUCUGAAAUUUUAGUAGGGAUAGCCGGUAAGCUGCCGUUAUAGCUAUUAAGCAGGGGGGAUUAAUCUCCCAACUUAGGUGGAACCGCGGGAAGUUACUUCUCGUCCUAUAU